rnacentral:lncRNA from 1 species
UGAGCACCACUUCUGUUUUCCUGAUUUUAUUCACAGAAAUAAUGCAAACCGGUGAAGCUCUUCUGUACAAGCAGAUGUAGCUUACCUUAUUGGUUCGAACCUUUUAUGUCCAUGUUUAUUUGAUGCGCUGGUGAAGCCUUGUGUGCUUUGAUGGAGAAGUAGAAACGAAUUUGAAGGAUUGUACCUUGUAUGUUACAUGAGCCUGUUUUUCUUCUUUAAUAAUGUUAUAAAGAAUGACUAUCCUCAUAAUCUGAGUGAACUCUAAAAUUAUGUCGGCAUCUGAUGGCUAAUGUUUGCUCUAGUUGAUAUUAAUAAUGGAUUUGUGUUCCACUUCUAUUCGGCUUCCUGAGCAGCAGCCAGACGAAGCUAAAAUGAAGGCAGAACCUUAGUCUAGCCCCCAUCUCCUUCAAAAGAUAUAUUUUCUUUCUGAACCUUGUUGGCGAUGAAGCACCCUGUACAACACGUGGACUCUGAGAAGUGGGUUUGGGCCACCACAUUGUUAUCAAGCCUCCUUUGUCCUUCGUGGCACGUAAUUCCUUCAUGAUUUGGCUGUUGGCUUGAUUCUCUUCCUGUUGAACACAGAGUGUUUUAACCGGACUAAGCACGCCGUCUUAUAAUCCUGCAGACUAAUCUUGAUCGACUUAUGAAGUUGCUGCAAUAAAUAGUGAGAAAACUACAAGCCACGGUGGCUCCUAUCCUCAUGGACAGGGGAUGAUGAAUGAUGAGUAACAUGUAAGUUGCGUUUUUUCCCCCAUAUCUAAAGAUAAAAAACAAGAACAGAAAAUAAGAUUCACUUAGUGAUAAAGUCAACAAGCGCACAUGUCAGGCUGGGAAUAGUUUGGAUCAAAACUUAGUUUUUGGUUUGGUUUUUGAUUUGGUCUCACUAGUUUGGUCUCUACUGGAUUUAGAUAGACAAACAAUUUGGUUCGGUUUGAGUUGUGGCUAAUAACGGAUUGGAUAUGUUUAGGUUGGGUGCAGACUUAUGGGUUGAAAACUGUUGCAAACUAUGGUUUGAGACCGGAUUGAUGGGUUAGUCUCAAGCGAAGGUCCAAAUGCCACCACCUUCCCAGCACGCUCAGUCGCUUCUUGUCAAUCUAUCCAUCGUCCAACCCAAGCUUCGUCCACGUGCGUACUCGUGCCAUGGACGCCUCUGACUUGGGAGAAGAUGAUCUUGACUUGGACCUGCUGCACCUCCAUGACCACGCCGACGACAAGGGUGACAUCCAUGACCACGUCGACGCCGGCGUAGAACCUAUGAUGUUGGGAAUAAGCCGUGACCGGCACGGUGGUGACCGGCGUGCGUGUGCGCCAGGAACGGUCCGUGCAGGCCAUAGGAGCGUAUGUGUGUUUGUCCGUGCGUGUGUGCGCCAGGAGCGAUCCGUGCAGGGCAUGGGCGUGUGUGUGUGCGUGCGUCGGGAGCGUGGCAUGGGCGUCGGGCGCGCGAGCCGGCCACGUCGAGUGGAUGCAUGCGCGUCGGGCGGGCGAGCCGUGGAGCGCGAGACGUGCCGAGUGCGCGAGUGGGGUGCGUCGAGAGCGCGGCGUGGCGCAUUAGUGCUAUAAGUCCCCCUCCCUCGCGUGUAUUGUACCAAGCGGACCGAGUUCGUGCUCGAGGAGAAAAACAAAAAAACUGUCGGUGCGACAAGGUGUUUGUCUGUGACCAAAUUCUCGGUGUCCAUUCUCCCACUGUAUCUUGUUGUCUUCGGUGAUCACCGGUGCGCCGGGAGUCCGUUUUAGCUAACAUAGGAGACGAUGGCGACCAACACACCCUGAGCAAACGAUCAUGACCUGAACGGCAACUGCCUUCUUCAAGUUUGUUUGUAUCCAAGUUCCAACACCCGAGCAGCAAAUACUCACUAGUCAGUUACACGGCUGUUGUGCUUUGUCCAUGGUUUGAGUUUGUGGGUUUAAUCCAAAACUUGGAAACAGUUUGAGCUGGAUUGGGUGGGAAAUACGUAUAGUUUGGUUUGGUUUGGAUUCUAGCUACAAGUUUUUGGUUUGGACGCUGGAGCUAUACUCGUACAGUCUGGACUGGUUUUAGCCUGGAUGUCAAACUACAAGCUAUACUCGUACAUAAAAGAGCUUGAUAAUUUCCAAGUGCAAUUGUCGUAGCACUUUUCAAUGAUGGAGAGGGUAAGUAUGGAUUGUCGAACCAACAUGGAGCUAAAGGUAAUAUCAAUAUGCCAUUUAUACAACUCUUCAUACACCAAGCGUUUGCUUUAUCUAGCAAAUAAAACUAGAACUACUUUACAGGUAUGAAAGGAUAGCUUUGCAAGAUCACAACAAUUGUGAACAUAAAAGUUAAGUGUUGCCUAAGUAAUAGUACAAUAUUAUACAAUAUAAUACAAAUAGGGAGUGAGAAAUAGUGGUGGUAUGGUGUGUGGAAUUGUCCCUGGGUAAUUAGCUAAGUUACUAAACCGAUCAUCAUUGCAAGUUUAUAUGUGGGAGAAGUCUCUGCUAACGUACAAUCCAUAAUUUGAGUCGCACGUUCUAUUAUUGAAGCUAUUAGAAAACAUCCACAAUUACUAACAAGUUCAUUAAGGUAAAUACAACCAUAAUAUUAAGAUAUAUUGCCCCCCCCCCCCUUCAAUCUCAUAUGUACCAAUUUCCAUGGUGAGGCGAGGUUUCGGUCACUCCUGCCGCCAUAUGCAUAGUCCUAUAAACAUACUAAUAACCCUAAUGUGUGGUCCAUGCGCCCUCUCCUAUUAUGGACACCAAAGGAUAGUAGCAUAACCGCAUGCAACUUAAACCGAUCACAACAAUUCAACAAUUAACCCAUAGGACAACAAUACUCUACUCGGACAUAAAGAAGAUGCAAUAAAUCAUCAUAAUAAUAAUCGAUAGCAUCCAUGUUCAAGUAGGGGAUUACAACGGGUUGUGGGAAAGUGGAUCGCUGGAUAGAAGUGAGGAAGGUGAUGGAGAUGCCGGUGAUGAUAGUUCCCCCAGCGACACUCCGGCACCAUUGGGAGAGAUGGGGAGAGAGCCCCCUCCUUCCUCCAUGGCCUCCGUCCUAGAUGGAGAGAGGUUCUUCCCUCUUGUUCAUGGCCACCAUGGUUCCCGGAGGGGCGAGAGCCUCUCUAACAUUGUAUCUCUCCUCCUCUUUUUCCCUCUGUUUUCUUCUCUGUUUCAGAUUUGUUUCUAUGGCUGAGCACGUUUCCUAAAUAUCCAGAGAUUCGUAACUCCGGCCGGGAUGAUUUUUUGACCCUAUCCCCCUACCAAAAAUUAGCUUUCAUGCGGCGAAAGAAGGUUCCCUCGCGCACCACCUUAUGCUAAUUCCUUCGCCCAAAAAUCCGAUAUUUUCUAUAAACAAUUCACAUUUUUUAGCUUCAGGGCUUCGUGAAUUUUUGACCUAUAUUUCAAAAAACAAUAGAAAACAAGAGCUGGCUUUUGGCACUGGAUUAAUAGGUUAGUACAAAUAAAUGUUGUUCCAAAAACAUAAAUAAAUGAUGCAAAUAAAGCAUGAAUACUUAAAAAUUAUUGAUACGUGGGAGACGUAUGAGUGCUACAUGGAUCAAGUUAAUUGGAUUAACAUGCAAUAGAUAUGGUAUGUUCAUUGGAUGCCACAAUUAUAGAUGGAGGUUAAUCAUGGAUGAACAUGGCAUAGGAUGGUGAUGGAUAUAAACUAAGACUAUCUACUUAUUUUAAAUGAAGUAGGAAAUCAUAUAUAAAGAAUUUCCCAAAUAAUACAUAACAAGAGAAAGGUUAAUUAUGGAUUAAGCCUUAACUGCAAUUUUAGUUGAUGCACACAUGCAUGAGGAUGACAUAUUAAUGAUCUAUGAAUUAUGCUAAUCAACAUGGCUUAUUAAACCAAGCUUGGAUAAAUUAGUUAUUAAUUAGGCUUUUUAAUAAUGUAUUAAUGUAGUUUAGUUAAAUCCAACAUUUUAAAUAGUGCAAACAUGUAUGCAAAAGACAUAUUCAUGAUCUACACAUUCUUUUAAUCAAUCUUUGUACAUAACUUGUCAAAUUUGGAGUUCUUACUCCUAUAAAGAUUGUUGGAGUACGAGCCUACUAGGAACCUGAUAGGUCUCCAACGUAUCUAUAAUUUUUGAUUGUUCUAUGCUAUUAUAUUAUCUAUCUUGGAUGUUUUAUUUGCAUUAAUAUACUAUUUAUAUCAUUUUUUGGGACUAACCUAUUAACCUAGUGCCCAGUGAUAGUUGCUAUUUUUUUCCUUAUUUUUGUCUUCUACAGAAAAUCAAUACCAAACGGACCGAAACUUUUUGAGAAUUCUUCUUCGACCAGAAGACAACCAUGAAGCUUCGGUAGGAGGCCAGAGGGGCCACGAGAGAGCCACAAGCUCGUAGGGCGCGCCCUAGGGGGGGGGGUGCCCCGGGCUUGUGGGCCCCUCGGGACUCCCCUAACCCUAAUUCUAGCUCCAUUAAUAUAUACCCAAAUAUUCCUCGUAUACCAGAGGGCGCACCAAAAAUACUUUUUCGCCACCGCAAGCUUCUGUUCUCAUGAGAUCCCAUCUAGGGGCCUUUUCUUCCACUCUAUCAGAGGGGGAUUCGAUCGGAGGGCCUCUACACCAACCUUGCUGCCCUACGGAUGAUGUGUGAGUAGUUUACCACAGACCUACGGGUCCAUGACGAGUAGCUAGAUGGCUUCUUCUCUCUCUUUGAUCUUCAAUACUAUGUUCUCCUCGAUGUUCUUGUAGUUCUAUUUGAUGUAAUGUUCUUUUGCAGUGUGUUUGUUGAGAUACGAUGAAUUGUGGAUUUAUGAUCAGAUUAUCUAUGAAUACUAUUUGAGUCUUCUCUAAACUCUUUUAUGCAUGAUUAAUAUAUGUAACACCCCGGAUGUAACUUUCCCAAUUUGUACUCCAACUCUUGCCGUUUCCGGCGUUAAGUUAUUUUAUUUUCUCGGGUUCGGGUUUUUGUCUCCGUGUGUUGUAUCGUUGUCAUGCAUCUCAUAUCAUGUCAUCAUGUGCAUUGCAUUUGCAUACGUGUUCAUCUCAUGCAUUCGAACAUUUUCCCUGUUGUCCGUUUUGCAUUCCGGCGCUUCGUUGUCCUCCGGUGGUCAUUUCUACCUUUCUUUCGUGUGUGGGGAUUAAACAUUUCCGGAUUGGACCGAGACUUGUCAUGCGGCCUGGGUUUACUACCAGUAGACCGCCUGUCAAGUUUCGUAUCAUUUGGACUUCGUUUGAUACUCCAACGAUCAACCGAUGGAUCGAAAAGGCCUCGUGUGUGUUGCAGCCCAACACCCCUCCAUUUUGGCCCAAAACCCACCAAAACCCUCUCCAUCAUCUAGAGCGUUCGAUCACGAUCGCGUGGCCGAAAACCGCACCUCAUUUGGACUCUCCUAGCUCCUACCUAUAAAAAGCAUCCCCUCUCAAAAUUCGCGGAUCUCCUCUCUCCCAAACCCUAAAAAUCCCCUCGCGCCGUCGCCGGACACGUCCGUCCUGGACGGACAAAUCCACCGCCGCCAUCCGCUCUAACCAGGGCACGCCACAUGGACGUGCGCCCACAUCACCGCCCGCGGCCCGCCGGGCCCGAGGAGAGCCCCCGUGGCCCGGGUCUCCGCCGCCGCCGCCCGACCCUUCUCCUUCCUCCCACGCCACUCGNNNNNNNNNNNNNNNNNNNNNNNNNNNNNNNNNNNNNNNNNNNNNNNNNNNNNNNNNNNNNNNNNNNNNNNNNNNNNNNNNNNNNNNNNNNNNNNNNNNNNNNNNNNNNNNNNNNNNNNNNNNNNNNNNNNNNNNNNNNNNNNNNNNNNNNNNNNNNNNNNNNNNNNNNNNNNNNNNNNNNNNNNNNNNNNNNNNNNNNNNNNNNNNNNNNNNNNNNNNNNNNNNNNNNNNNNNNNNNNNNNNNNNNNNNNNNNNNNNNNNNNNNNNNNNNNNNNNNNNNNNNNNNNNNNNNNNNNNNNNNNNNNNNNNNNNNNNNNNNNNNNNNNNNNNNNNNNNNNNNNNNNNNNNNNNNNNNNNNNNNNNNNNNNNNNNNNNNNNNNNNUCACCGCCCGGAGCCGCCGCGCCACCUCGACGCUGGCGCUCGCCGCCCCGGCCACCGUCGCCUCGGCGCCCGUCCUUGCCGCUGCCCUCACGGCCAGAUCCGGCGACCGCCCCCCCUCUCCGGCAAAGUCCCGUCCGACUCCGGCGAGAUCCGCCACCGCCUCGGCUUCCAUGCACCGUUGACUUUUAUCUCGAGGUGUUUUUUUUUCUUCCAAGUCCUCAAAUCUCAGAUCCAUAUGCUCCUGUUCAUCAUGUCGUAUCUCCUCAUCCAUAGCUCCGAUUUGGGCAUAUAGCAUAUCAAAAUCUUCAUCUCAGAGAGUACAUCAUUUCAUUCCAUUGCAUCAUUUUCAUUUGAGUUCAUCUUGAUGCCUGAAAUGCUGUUAGAAGAGGGCUACUUGAGAUAAUUGUCAGAUCUGCUACUCCAUUUAGAGAUUUGUCAUUUUUGCCAUGAUUAUUGUGUGCAUGAUAUGCCCAUGAGCCCUACAUAUGUUUUGUUAAGGGUUUUACCAUCUUUCCAGAGGUGAAACCCAUUUAUUUUUGUGAUGUGUGUGGUGACCAGCACAAGCUUGCAAAGUGAGGCACUUGGUAAUGCUGAUUUCAGAGACUUAGCAUUUCCACUAAGUCCUUGAGCUGUUUAUCUCAUAUGGCCAUAUGUUCAUGUUGUUUCCUAGUGAUCCGUGCCUCUUUUGAGGGUGAUCAGAAAGGAUGUUUUGUUAAUCUUGUAGUGCUCUAUCCAUCCAUGUCUUUGUUUGCAAUUAUGGAGCACCCUAGCUUGAGUCAAUCGAGCUCUACUUUUGCUACUUCAUGAAUCUGGGCAGAUUGUCUACUUGUUAGCGAUUUUGCCGAGGAUGUUGUAGUUGAUCCGUGCAUGCUAUGCUAUUGUUCUUGCCAUGUCUAGCUUUCAUUUUGUGUAUUCUUGAUGGGUGUUUGCUUAGCUUGUCAUGUCUUGCUCUGUAGUGAGUGCAUCGAGCUCGUAAACAUGCCUACUUGAUAUCUGUUUUCAGCAUGUUCCAAUUUUCACUAAGUCUGAGAACUGAUUAUGUUUUUGCCAUGUUCACAUGCUUGCAAUUGUAUUUUCUGAUCCCUUUUGGCUCAAGGUCACUAAGGGACUUUUGUUAAUCUCUUUGAGUAGCUCCACGCCAUGCUUUACUUUGCCAUGUUCAGGUCCUGUAGCAUGUAGUUUUGUUGCUCCAAAGAGUGCUAUCUGAUCUGAAAUUCCAGACAAGUGUUAAUUUCACUAAGUCUGAAAUCUGUUUACCAUAUGCAUUUUUGCCAUGCUUGUUUGAACCUGUUAAUGGAUGAAUUGGCCAUAGCUCAGUGCUAGACUUUUGUUAAGCAUCAUGAAUGCAUCCCUGCCAUGUAUUUUGUUGCCAUGUUUGGGUGCUGUAGCUUGUUCAUCUCAUUGCAUUUAGAUGACUUGCUGUAAAUCGCAGACCGGUGCCAUAUUUGAAUCGCUUGCCGUUCCCAAACCGUAACUCCGAUUCCGGCGUUCUUUAUAUCAUUUUCAAGCGAUUUCAUCUCAUCUUUCCAGUGGCACACUUGGAUUUCCAAGUUGAGGCCAGGUUCAUGCAUCCCUUGUCAAAUCUUGCAUAUACUUCCCGCAUCGCAUCCCGCAUAGCAUACCAUCUUUGCAUCAUAUUGUUUGACCCUUGCACGUGGUUGAUUGUGUUUCGUUUGCUGUUUGUCUUGUUUGGGUAGAGCCGGGAGACAAGUUCGCUAACGAGGAGCCCGUUGAGUUUGCUUUCGAGGAUCCAGUCAAUCCUGACAACUUUGCAGACAAGAUGAUCAUACCCUCGAAAUCACUACUAUCUUUGCUUUGCUAGAUGCUCGCUCUUUUGCCAUGCCAAUGCUACGAUGCCUACCACUUGCUUUCAAGCCUCCCAAAUUGCCAUGUCAAACCUCUAACCCACCAUGUCCUAGCAAACCGUUGAUUGGCUAUGUUACCGCUUUGCUCAGCCCCUCUUAUAGCGUUGCUAGUUGCAGGUGAAGAUUGGAGACCGUUCCUUGUUGGAACAUUUAUUUACUUGUUGGGAUAUCAUUAUAUUAUCUUGUUACCUUAAUGCAUCUAUAUACUUGGUAAAGGGUGGAAGGCUCGGCCUCUCGCCUAGUGUUUUGUUCCACUCUUGCCGCCCUAGUUUCCGUCAUAUCGGUGUUAUGUUCCCGGAUUUUGCGUUCCUUACGCGGUUGGGUUAUAAUGGGAACCCCUUGAUAGUUCGCCUUGAUUAAAGCUGUUCCAGCAAUGCCCAACCUUGGUUUUACCAUUUGCCACCUAGCCUCUUUUUCCCUUGGGUUUCCGAAGCCCGAGGGUCAUCUUAUUUAAACCCCCGGGCCAGUGCUCCUAUGAGUGUUGGUCCAAACUGUCAGCCGCCGGUGGCUACCAGGGGCAACUCUGGGCUGGCCUACCGGUAGUUUAGACAAUCUGAGUGUGCCUUGAGAAAGAGAUAUGUGCAGCUCCUAUCGGGAUUUGUCGGCACAUUCGGGCGGUGUUGCUGGUCUUGUUUUAACCUGUCGAAGUGUCUUGAAGAACCGAGAUACCGAGUCUGAUCGGAACGUCUUGGGAGGAGGUCUAUUCCUUCGUUGACCAUGAGAGCUUGUCAUGGGCUAAGUUGGGACUCCCCUGCAGGGAUUUGAACUUUCGAAAGCCAUGCCCGCGGUUAUGGGCAGAUGGGAAUUUGUUAAUGUCCGGUUGUAGAUAACUUGAACCUUAAUUUAACUAAAAUGAAUCAACUGAGUGUGUUGCCAUGAUGGCCUCUUCUCGGCGGAGUUCGGGAAGUGGACACGGCAUUGGAGUAAUGUUUGCGCAGGUUGCUCUCUAGUUUCUCGCUCGCGCUUUGCCUCCUCUUCUCGCUCUCUUUUGCGAACAGGAUAGCCACCAUAUAUGCUAGUCGCUUGCUGCAGCUCCACAUAUAUUUACCUUGCCUUACCUAUCAGCUUAAAUAGUAUUGAUCGCGAGGGUGUGAGAUUGCUGAGUCCCUGUGGCUCACAGAUUACUAUUACACCAGAUGCAGGGCCUGAUGAUUCCGCUCCAGGUGACGCGCUUGAGCUCAAGUGGGAGUUCGACGAAGACUCUCAACAUUACUAUGUUUCUUUUCCCGAUGAUCAGUAGUGGUGCCCAGUUGGGGGUGAUCGGGACCGUGUCGCAUGUUGGGUUAUCUUUUAUUUUGGCGCCGUAGUCAGGCCAUGAGUGUUUGGGUGAUGUAAUGUUAUGUAUGUACUUGAUUGACGUGGCGAGUGUAAGCCAACUAUGUUAUCUCCCCUUUUAUUAUCUUUAUUACAUGGGAUGUUGUGAAGAUUGCCUAACUUGCGACAUAUGCCUUCAAUGCGAUUAUGCCUCUAAGUCGUGCCUCGACACGUGGGAGAUAUAGUCGCAUCGAGGGUGAUACAAGUUGGUAAUCAGAGCCUUCCCCGACCUUAGGAGCCCCAUUGCUUGAUCAUUUUUAGCAGCCGAGUUGUGUCUAGAAAAAUGUUUUGAGUCAUUUAGGAAUUAUAUAUCGGAGAGUUUAGGAAUUAUUUUUACUUCCCAGUCUCCUCAUCGCUCUGGUAAGGCAUCCUGACAUAGAGUUUUGACUCUUCUCUUCUCAAAUUUCACUAAAUUUUUUUAGGAUCACGCAGGUAUCUUGGAAUCGUUCUGAUGGUUUUAUGACGAGAACAUUGUCUUGGUGCCUCCUGUCAGGGGUUUUGUGGAAGUGUCCCGAGGAGUUGAGCUCUGAGAUAUUGUCGUCAUAAUUUUAUCGUUGCAGUUCUGGAAUACCUGAGUUUAGUACGCCGACAUCGAAAAUCUCUUUUAUGCAGUUCGUUGGUGAGAUAACCUCGAUGCCACCCAGUACUGGGGCGGGAGUUCGGGAGUAUCACCAUAACUUUGUAUAACAUAUGCUUUUCGAAGGUUGAGGUAGAUGGUUUCCGAAGUUUUUCUCGGUUAUGUGUUGAAGGAUGGAUACAGCUGGAUGUAGGAUUUGAUAGAAUUGGGUGAGAUAUUAUGCUUCCCCUGUAUCCCCAACACCUGAUUGCAUAACUGGAAAGGUUCGGGAGUUUCAUAGGUGGGAAUUCUUGUAGCUCUAGUUCUUCUUCCACGGAUAUUGGUUUGAGAUUGGGAUUUCUUACCGAUUAUUCGUUCUUGAUCCGUACCUUGUUGAUUUAUUUCUCUACCUUAAUUCUAAGUGGCUUCUCAAUUUAUGGAUAUGUGACCAUUUCAAGAGGAAUGCAUUCGUUCAUUUUGUUCGGAUGUGAAGACUAUAUGUUGCAAUUUUCAUUCCGUUGGAUUCAGCUUCAAUAUUUGUCUAUCAAUGUGCUAAUGGAUGUCAACCUCUUCAGGAUGGCUCCUCCAACGCGCACGACUCCGAAUCCUGAUCCGCCACCACCUCCACCUCCUCCGGAGGCAUGGCAAGCUGUGAUGUCCGCAGCCAAUGCAAACACACAGUUGAUCAUGCAAAUUCUCCAAGAGCGCAAUCAAGGCAACCAAGGGAACCAAGGCAACAAUCAGAAUCACUAUGCUACACUCAACCAGUUCCUUGCUAACGGGCCAAAGUCUUUCAGCAACUGUGUUGAGGCAACCGAUGCUGAGGAUUGGCUUGUGGAUCUGUGCAAGCAUUUCGAGUGCAGUAACGUCAGGCCUGAGGACUUUGUCAAGUUCGCUUCCUUCCAACUCAAAGAUCAAGCUGCAGAAUGGUUCCAGCAGUACAAGGAUUCCAGAGGUGGAUGUGUUAUCACUUGGGAUGAAUUCCGUUGAGAUUUCAGAGCUCAUCAUAUUCCUCAGAGCAUGGUUGAAAGCAAGCAUGAGGAAUUCCGCAACCUGAAGCAAGGAUCUUUGUCUGUCUAUGACUACAACAAGUUGUUCCAGAAGCUCGCCCGUUUUGCUAAGCAGGACGUACCUGAUGAGAAGAGCAUGAUAUACCAGUUCAGGGGUGGUCUCAGAGAAGAAAUUCAGCUAGCUCUUGUUCUCUUUGAGCCCUUGAGGUACGAUGAGUUCUACAACAUGGCAUUGAAGCAAGAGGCCGCUCAAUUGAGGUGUGAUGCUUCCAAGAAGCGAGUCAGAGAUGUUAUUCCUUCUUCCUCUACUCAAGUGGCCAAGCAGCAGAAGUAUUGGCUUCCUCCUCCUCCAUUUCGUUAGCCGUAUCAGCAGAAGAGCAAAGGUGGCAGUGGAUCUUCCCACCCACCCAACCUUGGAUUUCAGAACAAGACUUCGUCUCAAGCUCCAAGAUCGAGUGCUCCGUAUCACCGUCCGCUUUCAGAGGUCACGUGCAACAAGUGCCAACAGAAGGGUCACUAUGCCAACAAGUGUUUCAACUAGAGGCGUCUUCCUCCUCCUCCUCCUGUGAGAUCGGCAAGUACAGCUAUGGUCAAGCAUAACCCCAAGUACGCCAAGGUCAAUAUGGUGAAUGCAGCUCAGGCAGAUGAUUCAUCAGAUGUCAUCAUGGGUAACCUUUCUGUUAACAAUGUUCCUGCAAGAGUUCUUUUUGACAUUGGUGCAUCGCAUUGUUUUAUCUCGAGUCCUUUUGCAUCUAAGCAUGGGUGGUUUUCUCAAGUUAUGCAUAAGCCAUUAGCAGUUGUCUCUCCGGGUAGAUGCUUGCUUGCUAACUACGAAGUUCCGGAUAUUUAUAUCUCGAUGGGUGAUUUCAAGUUUCUGGCUUCUCCAAUGAUCCUUGGUAACUCGGAUAUUGAUCUUAUUCUCGGAAUGGAUUGGCUUUCUAAGCACAAGGCUGUGCUUGAUUGUGCAGCCAGGCUGAUUCAAUUGACUCAUUCAUCUGAGGAUGUAAUUGUCUUUGCUGCUCGGGAUAAUACUAUCCGUCUGUUUUCUCUCAAUAAGAAGGGUGAACUCGAUGCCAUCUCGCAAAUUCCAGUCGUUUGCGAAUAUCAAGACGUCUUUACAGAAGAGCUUCCAGGAAUGCCUCCUCACUGGCCAGUUGAAUUCGUCAUUGAUCUUGAGCCCGGCACGAAACCUGUGUGCAAAUGUCCUUACAAGAUCGGACCUGAAGAGUUGAAGGAGCUGAAGAAGCAACUCGAUAUUCAUGAGAAAAUGGGUCUCAUCCGGCCUAGUUCUUCUCCGUGGGGUUGUGGUGUACUUUUUGUGAAGAAGAAGGAUGGAACGGACCGACUUUGUGUUGAUUACCGUCCAUUGAACAAGAAGACCAUCAAGAACAAAUACCCACUUCCCAACAUCAAUGAGCUGUUCGAACAACUCAAAGGUGCCCAAGUAUUCUCCAAGCUUGAUCUCCGUAUGGGUUAUCAUCAGAUUCGAAUCCGUGAGCAAGAUAUUCCCAAGAUGGCUUUCAGGACAAGCUAUGGUUCAUAUGAAUACACUGUCAUGUCUUUUGGCCUCGUCAACGCUCCUCCGACUUUCUCUCGUGUGAUGAACUUCAUCUUCAACGCCUACACCAAUGACUUCGUUUUGGUCUAUCUCGACGACAUUCUGGUUUUCUCGAAGAACAAGGAAGAUCAUGCCAAGCACUUGCGUUUGGUACUCGAUAAGCUGAGGGAACACAAGUUCUACGCCAAGUUCUCCAAUUGUGAAUUUUGGCUCGAUGAGGUUCUUUAUCUUGGUCAUAUCAUCUCUGCCAAGGGCAUGGCCGUGAAUCCUGAGAAGGUGUCUGCAAUUGUGAAUUGGGAACCUCCUCAGAACGUGAAGCAACUCCGUAGCUUCCUCGGUCUCACAAGCUGUUGUCGAAGAUUCGUUGAAAACUUUUCCAAGAUCGUGAAGCCUCUCUCUAAUCUUCUCCAGAAGCACGUCAAGUACGUUUGGUCUCCGGAGUGUGACAUUGCUUUCAACACUUUGAAAGAGAAAUUGAUCACUGCUCCAAUUCUCACUCCGCCUGAUGAAUCCAAGCCGUACGAGGUCUUUUGUGAUGCCUCUCUCCAAGGUCUUGGCGCAGUAUUGAUGCAAGAGAAGAAAGUUGUUGCUUAUACCUCUCGCCAGUUGAAGCCUAAUGAGAAGAACUACCCCACUCAUGAUCUCAUAAGAGUCUCAAGUACAUCUUCACUCAGCCUAAUCUCAACCUCAGGGUAACUCGAUGGGUCGAAAUGAUUCAAGAGUAUAAUCCGAGUAUCGAGUAUACACCAGGCAAGGCCAAUGUGAUUGCCGACGCAUUGAGCAGAAAGGCUUACUGCAACAGUCUGAUUCUCAAGCCUUAUCAACCCGAGCUUUGUGAAGCUUUCCGCAAACUUAAUCUGCAAGUUGUUCCUCAAGGUUUCCUCACCAACCUUCAAGUCUCUCCUACCUUGGAAGACCAGAUUCGCCAAGCCCAGCUUCUUGAUGCUAUGGUGAAAAAGGUGAAGAUUGGGAUUGUCAAGAGUCAACCCAAGUACAAGUGCUACCACCUUGAUGACAAGGACACUCUCUUCUUCGAGGAUCGUAUUGUUGUACCCAAAGGUGACCUCGGUAAAGUGAUCAUGAACGAGGCUCACAAUUCCCUCCUCUCCAUCCACCCUGGGAGCACGAAGAUGUAUCAGGACCUUAAGCAGGCUUAUUGGUGGACUCGAAUGAAGCGCGAGAUUGCUCAGUUCGUGAAUGAAUGUGAUGUCUGCAGAAGAGUGAAGGCAGAACACCAAAGGCCAGCAGGUCUCCUCCAACCUCUUGUCAUUCCAGAAUGGAAGUUUGACCACAUUGAAAUGGACUUCGUGACUGGGUUUCCAAAGUCCAGGCGUGGAAAUGAUGCUAUAUUUGUUGUCAUCGACAAACUCACUAAAGUGGCUCAUUUUCUGCCUAUCAAAGAGUCGAUCACUGCAGCUCAAUUGGCGGAACUCUAUACCUCUCGGAUUGUCUCUCUGCACGGUAUUCCACAAGUGAUCUCUUCAGACCGUGGCAGUAUCUUUACAUCCAAGUUUUGGGUUUCUUUUCAGAAGGCCAUGGGCACCAACAUCCGCUUCAGCACAACUUUCCAUCCUCAAACUAGCGGUCAAGUCGAGUGUGUCAACCAGAUUCUUGAAGAUAUGCUCAGGGCUUGUGUGAUCUCCUUUGGCAUGAAGUGGGAGGACUGUCUUCCUUAUGCUGAAUUCUCCUACAACAACAGUUUUCAAGCAAGUUCGGGCAAGGCCCCAUUUGAAAUUCUGUAUGGCAGGAAGUGCCGUACCCCUCUCAACUGGUCUAAAACCGGCGAAUGUCAGCUUUUGGGUAAUGACUUAAUCAUAGAGGCAGAGGAAAUGUGCAAAGUCAUUCGAAAUAACCUCAAAGCAUCCCAAUCCCGCCAGAAGAGCUACUAUGAUAGUAAGCACCAUGAUUUGGCUUUCGAGAUCGGAGAUCAUGUGUACCUCCACGUCUCUCCUAUGAAAGUUACUCGUCGCUUCGGUAUCAAAGGCAAGCUUGCCCCCAGAUACGUGGGACCUUUCAAGAUUGUCAGCAAGAGAGGCGACCUCGCCUAUCAACUCGAGCUUCCUUCAAACUUUGCAAAUGUUCAUGAUGUGUUCCAUGUCUCUCAGCUCCGAAAGUGCUUCAAGACUCCUGACCGCACCGUCAACUUCGAGGACAUUGAGCUCCAGGAAGAUCUCUCUUAUCGUGAGCACCCAGUUGCUAUUCUUGAAGAGACUGAACACAAGACUCGCAAUAAGUCAAUCAAAUUUCUCAAAGUCAAGUGGUCACACCAUUCCGACCAUGAAGCUACCUGGGAACGCGAGGAUCACCUCCGUUCUAAGUACCCGGCGUUCUUUCAGUCCUAGAUCUCGGGACGAGAUCCUUUCGUAGUGGUGGAGUGCUGUAACACCCCGGAUGUAACUUUCCCAAUUUGUACUCCAACUCUUGCCGUUUCCGGCGUUAAGUUAUUUUAUUUUCUCGGGUUCGGGUUUUUGUCUCCGUGUGUUGUGUCGUUGUCAUGCAUCUCAUAUCAUGUCAUCAUGUGCAUUCGUGUUCAUCUCAUGCAUUCGAACAUUUUUCCCGUUGUUCGUUUUGCAUUCCGGCGCUUCGUUCUCUUCCGGUGGUCAUUUCUACCUUUCUUUCGUGUGUGGGGAUUAAACAUUUCCGGAUUGGAUCGAGACUUGUCAUGCGGCCUGGGUUUACUACCGGUAGACCGACUGUCAAGGUUCGUAUCAUUUGGACUUCGUUUGAUACUCCAACGGUCAACCGAGGGACCGAAAAGGCCUCGUGUGUGUUGCAGCCCAACACCCCUCCAUUUUGGCCCAAAACCCACCAAAACCCUCUCCAUCAUCUAGAGCAUUCCAUCACGAUCGCGUGGCCGAAAACCGCACCUCAUUUGGACUCUCCUAGCUCCUUCUACCUAUAAAAAGGCAUCCCCUCUCGAAAUUCGCGGAUCUCCUCUCUCCCAAACCCUAAAAAUCCCCUCGCGCCGCCGCUGGACACGUCCAUCCUGGACGGACAAAUCCGCCGCCGCCGUCCGCGCCAACCGAGGAGAGCCCCCGUGGCCCGGGUCUCCGCCGCCGCCGCCCGACCCUUCUCCUUCCUCCCGCGCCGCUCGCCGGCUCCCCGCCGUCACCGCGCCGGCGCCGCGCCUUCAUAGCUCCGCCGCCUCGCCAUCACCACCCGGAGCCGCCGCGCCACCUCGACGCCGGCCCUCGCCGCCCCGGUCACCGUCGCCUCGGCGCCCGUCCUCGCCGCUGCCCCCAUGGCCAGAUCCGGCGACCGCCCCCCCUCUCCGACGAAGUCCCGGCCGACUCCGGCGAGAUCAGCCACCGCCUCGGCUUCCGUGCACCGUUGACUUUUAUCUCGAGGUGGUUUUUUUUCUUCUAAGUCCUCAAAUCUCAGAUCCAUAUGCUCCUAUUCAUCGUGUCGUAUCUCCUCAUCCGUAGAUCCGAUUUGGGCAUAUAGCAUAUCAAAAUGUUCAUCUCAGAGAGUACAUCAUUUCAUUCCAUUGCAUCAUUUUCAUCUGAGUUCAUCUUGAUGCCCGGAAUGCUGUUAGAAGAGGGCUACUUGAGAUAAUUGUCAGAUCUACUACUCCAUUUAGAGAUUUGUCAUUUUUGCCAUGAUUAUUGUGUGCAUGAUAUGCCCAUGAGCCCUACAUAUGUUUUGUUAAGGGUUUUACCAUAUUUCCAGAGGUGCAACCCAUGUAUUUUUGUGAUGUGUGUGGUGACCAGCACAAGCUUGCAAAGUGAGGCACUUGGUAAUGCUGAUUUCAGAGACUUAGCAUUUCCACUAAGUCCUUGAGCUAUUUAUCUCAUAUGGCCAUAUGUUCAUGUUGUUUCCUAGUGAUCCGUGCCUCUUUUGAGGGUGAUCAGUAAGGAUGUUUUUUUAAUAUUGUAGUGCUCUAUCCAUCCAUGUCUUUUUUUGCAAUUAUGGAGCACCCUAGCUUGAGUCAAUCGAGCUCUACUUUUGCUACUUCAUGAAUCUGGGCAGACUGUCUACUUGUUAGCGAUUUUGUUGAGGAUGUUGUAGUUGAUCCGUGCAUGCUAUGCUAUUGUUCUUGCCAUGUAUAGCUUGCAUUUUGUGUAUUCUUGAUGGGUGUUUGCUUAGCUUGUCAUGUCUUGCUCUGUAGUUAGUGCAUCGAGCUCGUAAACAUGCCUACUUGAUAUCUGUUUUCUAGUGAUCCGUGCCUCUUUUGAGGAUGAUCAGUAAGGAUGUUUUGUUAAUCUUAUAGUGCUCUAUCCAUCCAUGUCUUUGUUUGCAAUUAUGAAGCACCCUAGCUUGAGUCAAUCGAGCUCUAUUUUUGCUAUUUCGUGAAUCUGGGCAGACUGUCUACUUGUUAGCGAUUUUGCCGAGGAUGUUGUAGUUGUUCCGUGCAUGCUAUGUUAUUGUUCUUGCCAUGUCUAGCUUGAAUUUUGUGUAUUCUUGAUGGAUGUAUGCUUAGUUUGUCAUGACUUGCUCUGUGGUGAGUGCAUCGAGCUCGUAAACAUGCCUACUUGAUAUCUAUUUCAGCAUGCUCCAGUUUUCACUAAGUCUGAGAACUGAUUGUGUUUUUGCCAUGUUCACAUGCUUGCAAUUGUAUUUUCUGAUCCCUUUUGGCUUAAGGUCACUAAGGGACUUUUGUUAAGUUCUUUGAGUAGCUCCAUGCCAUGCUUUACUUUGCCAUGUUCAGGUCCUGUAGCAUGUAGUUUUGUUGCUCCAAAGAGUGCUAUCUGAUCUGAAAUUCCAGACAAGUGUUAAUUUCACUAAGUCUGAAAUCUGUUUACCAUAUGCAUUUUUGCCAUGCUUGUUUGAACCUGUUAAUGGAUGAAUUGGCCAUAGCUCAGUGCUAGACUUUUCUUAAGCAUCAUGAAUGCAUCCCUGCCAUGUAUUUUGUUGCCUUGUUUGGGUGCUGUAGCUUGUUCAUCUCAUUGAAUUUAGAUGACUACUUGCUGUAAAUCGCAGACCGGUGCCAUAUUUGAAUCGCUUGCCGUUCCCAAACCGUAACUCCGAUUCCGGCGUUCUUUAUAUCGUUUUCAAGCAAUUUCAUCUCAUCUUUCCAUUGGCACACUUGGAUUUCCAAGUUGAGGCCAGGUUCAUGCAUCCCUUGUCAAAUCUUGCAUAUGCUUCCCGCAUCGCAUCCCGCAUAGCAUACCAUCUUUGCAUCAUAUUGUUUAAUCCUUGCACGUGGUUGAUUGUGUUCCGUUUUCUGUUGGUCUUGCUUGGGUAGAGCCGGGAGACGAGUUCUCUAAUGAUGAGCCCGUUGAGUUUGCUUUCGAGGAUCCAGUCAACUCUGACAACUUUGCAGGCAAGAUGAUCAUACCCUCGAAAUCACUACUAUCUUUGCUUUGCUAGAUGCUCGCUCUUUUGCCAUGCCAAUGCUAGGAUGCCUACCACUUGCUUUCAAGCCUCCCAAAUUGCCACGUCAAACCUCUAACCCACCAUGUCCUAGCAAACCGUUGAUUGGCUAUGUUACCGCUUUUCUCAGCCCCUCUUAUAGCAUUGCUAGUUGCAGGUGAAGAUUGGAGACCGUUCCUUGUUGGAACAUUUAUUUACUUGUUGGGAUAUCAUUAUAUUAUCUUGUUACCUUAAUGCAUCUAUGUACUUGGUAAAGGGUGGAAGGCUCAGCCUCUCGCCUAGUGUUUUGUUCCACUCUUGCCGCCCUAGUUUCCGUCAUAUCGGUGUUAUGUUCCCGGAUUUUGCGUUCCUUACGCGGUUGGGUUAUAAUGGGAACCCCUUGAUAGUUCGCCUUGAUUAAAGCUUUUCCAGCAAUGCCCAACCUUGGUUUUACCAUUUGCCACCUAGCCUCUUUUUCCCUUGGGUUUCGGGAGCCCGAGGGUCAUCUUAUUUAAACCCCCCCGGGCCAGUGCUCCUCUGAGUGUUGGUCCAAACUGUCAGCCGCCGGUGGCUACCAGGGGCAACUCUGGGCUGGCCUACCGGAAGUUUAGACAAUCUGAGUGUGCCCUGAGAAAGAGAUAUGUGCAGCUCCUAUCGGGAUUUGUCGGCACAUUCGGGCGGUGUUGCUGGUCUUGUUUUAACCUGUCGAAGUGUCUUGAAGAACUGAGAUACCGAGUCUGAUCGGAACGUCUUGGGAGGAGGUCUAUUCCUUCGUUGACCGUGAGAGCUUGUCAUGGGCUAAGUUGGGACUCUCCUGCAGGGAUUUGAACUUUCAAAAGCCGUGCCCGCGGUUAUGGGCAGAUGGGAAUUUGUUAAUGUCCGGUUGUAGAUAACUUGAACCUUAAUUUAACUAAAAUGAAUCAAUUGAGUGUGUUGCCGUGAUGGCCUCUUCUCGGCGGAGUUCGGGAAGUGGACAUGGUGUUGGAGUAAUGUUUGCGCAGGUUGCUCUCUAGUUUCUCGCUCGCGCUUUGCCUCCUCUUCUCGCUCUCUUUUGCGAACAGGAUAGCCACCAUAUAUGCUAGUCGCUUGCUGCAGCUCCACAUAUAUUUACCUUGCCUUACCUAUCGGCUUAAAUAGUCUUGAUCGCGAGGGUGCGAGAUUGCUGAGUCCCUGUGGCUCACAUAUUACUAUUACACCAGAUGCAGGGCCUGAUGAUUCCGCUCUAGGUGACGCGCUUGAGCUCAAGUGGGAGUUCGACAAAGACUCUCAACGUUACUAUGUUUCUUUUCUUGAUGAUCAGUAGUGGUGCCCAGUUGGGGGUGAUCGGGACCGUGUCGCAUGUUGGGUUAUCUUUUAUUUUGGCGCCGUAGUCGGGCCAUGAGUGUUUGGGUGAUGUAAUGUUAUUUAUGUACUUUAUUGACGUGGCGAGUGUAAGCCAACUAUGUUAUCUCCCCUUUUAUUAUCUUUAUCACAUGGGAUGUUGUGAAGAUUGCCUAACUUGCGACAUAUGCCUUCAAUGCGAUUAUGCCUCUAAGUCGUGCCUCGAUACGUGGGAGAUAUAGUCGCAUCGAGGGUGUUACAAUAUAGCUUUGUAUUUAUCUCCGAUCUAUUGAUUUGGUUUGGCCAACUAGAUUGAUCUUUCUUGCAAUGGGAGAGGUGCUUUGUGAUGGGUUCAAUCUUGCAGUGUCCUCACACAGUGACAAUAGGGGUAGCGAGGCAUAUAUUAUAUUUUUGCCAUUAGGGAUACAAAGAUGGAGUUUUUUUACCAUAUUGAUUGUAUCUAUCUACUUCAUGUCAUCUUGCUUAAGGCGUUACCACAUUUUUGUUAACUUAAUACACUAUAUGCAUGCUGAAUAGCGGUCAAUGUGUGGAGUAAUAGUAGUAGAUGCAGGCAGGAGUCAGUCUACUUGUCACGCACGUGGUGCCUAUAUUCAUGAUCAUUGCCUUAGAUAUCAUCAUAACUUUGCGCUUUUCUAUCAAUUGCUCAACAAUAAUUUGUUCACCUACCGUAUGUGUUCUUUCAAGAGAGAAGCCUCUAGUGAAAACCAUGGCCCUUGGGUCUAUUUCUCAUCAUACAUUUUCAGAUUUAUAAAACCAAAAAUACAAAAAUACCUUGCUGCAAUUUAUUUACCUUUACUUUAUUUUGCCUUUUUAUUUAUCUUUUAUACCUAUCUCUAUCAGAUCUCAUCCUUGCAAGUAACCGUGAAGGGAUCGACAACACCUUUAUCGCGUUGGGUGCAAGUAUUUGUUUGUUUGUGUAUGUGCUAUUAUCAGAGACUUGCGUGUACCUCCUACCGGAUUGAUAUCUCAGUUCUUAACUGAGGGAAAUACUUAUCUCUACUUUGCUGCAUCACCCUUUCCUCUUCAAGGGAAAAACCAAUGCAAACUCAAGAAGUAGCAGGAAGAAUUUCUGGCGCUGUUUCAGGGGAGGUUCUACAUCAAGCCUACCAAGUACCUACCAUAAACUCUCAUCUCUUGCACUUACAUUAUUUGCCAUUUGCCUCUCAUUUGCCUCUCGUUUUCCUCCCCCACUUCUAAAACAUUUUUAGAGAAACACAAAAAUAUUUGCCUUUUUCGUUUGCCUUUAUGUCUUACUUGGUUUGUUUGCUCGUUUGCUUGGCAUAAUUGCAUAUUUAUUCCAAAUUAGAAACCAAAAAGUUUAUGGAUUCUCAUCCACUUGCUAAUAUUUUUAAAAGAUCCAAUUAUGAUGAAUCAAUUGCUAGUGAGUUGAGUGCACUAGAUUAUCUUUAUGAAUUUUUUCUUGAAAUUCGUGAAUUUGAAAAUUGUGAUGAAGUGUUAAAAGAAGAAAUUUAUGAAGUGAUUCAUGAUAGCUCCUUGAAAGAAAAGCAUGAUUGCAAUGAUGUUACUAUAAAUUCUAUUAAUGUCAAUUGUGCUAAUAAUAUGCAAAACCCCAAGCUUGGGGAUGCUAGUUUUGCUAUGUCCGCUACUUAUUGCAAUGAUCAUGAUUGGGGUGAUAAUGCUUCUUAUGAUCUUGAAAUUUUAUUUAAACCUCAUGAUGAAUAUGUUUGCGAUAAUAUUGAAAGUGGGUUUGGAAGAGUGUAAACUCUAGGUAAAAUAAUCCCACAUAUUUGGAGAGUGUUCAGUCUUAUGAUAUUUUUGAUAAAAGUGGGCUUGGAGAGGUCAUGCCUCUAUUUGAUAAUCCCACUAUUGUGGAAGUGUGUCAACUUUGCAUGCAUGUGGAUCAUGUAGAGAAUAUGAUAUGUGAUAGCUAUAUUGUUGAAUUUGAAUAUGAUCCCACAUGUAAUUAUUAUGAGAGAGAGAAAUAUGGUUGUAGAAAUUUUCAUGUUACUAAGUUACCUCUUGUUAUGUUGAGAUUUCUCAUGUUUCUUUCUUCUUCUUGCAUAUGCUAGUUUUUGCUUGUCUUGAUAAAUAUGUUCCCUAUAAAAUGCCUAUUCAUAGGAAGUAUGUUAUACUUAAACUUGUUUUUCACAUACUAUAUGAUGCUCUAUUUGUGCUUCAGUUUUUGUCUUUCAUAUGGGCAUCAUUAAAAUUAUCAACACCUAGCUAAAAGGCUUUAAAGAAAAGUGCUUUCUUUUUUGUUUUUAUGUGUUUAUGCAAUUAUACUUCUGUAAUAAUUGUGUGUUAGUGUUUUAAUUAGUGUUUGAGCCAAGUAAGACCUUUGGGAUACUUUGGUAUAUCGUUGAUUUGAUUUUGCUGAAAACAAGCACUUUUGCGUCCAGUAGCAGAAUUGUUAAAAUUCACUAGAGCAUGGAAAAACUCUGAAUUAUUUACACAAGAUUGACAUAUGAAUUUCCUAUUUUCUCCCAAUUUUUCAGAAGUUUUGGAGUUACAGAAGUAUGACUAUAAUUCUGGUCUUUACAGUCUGUUCUGUUUUUGCUUUAUUGUUUGCUUAUUUUGAUGAAUCUUCAGGUAGUAUCGGGGGGGGGGGGGUAUGAACCAUGGAAGUUAGAAUAUAGUAGAUAUUAUAGAAAUAUGAUAUUGGAAUGAGUUCACAACAGUACUUAAAAGUGGAGAUUUGUUUUAUCAUACUAACGGAUCUCAUGAGUUUUUUGUUGAGUUUUGUGUUGUGAAGUUUCCAAGUUUUGGGUAAAGAUUUGACGGACUACAAAAUAAGGAGUGGCAAGAGCCUAAGCUUGGGGAUGCCCAACGCACCCCAUGGAAAUACUCAAGGACAACCAAGCAUCUAAGCAUGGGGAUGCCCCGGAUGGCAUCCCCCCUUUUGUCUUCAAUCCAUGAGUAAAUUACUUGAGGCUAUAUUUUUAUUCACCACAUGAUAUGUGUUUUGCUUGAAGCAUCUUGUAUUAUACGAUUCUUUGCUUUUUAAUUUUCCACAAUCAUCCUUGCUGAACACACCUUUUGAGAGGGACACACAUUAAUCAUGAACUUAUUAGAAUACUCUACGUGCUUCACUUAUAUCUUUUGAGCUAGGUAGUUGCUCUAGUGCUUCACUUAUAUCUUUUUAGAGCAUGGCGGUGGUUUUAUUUUGUAGAAAUUAAUGAACUCUCAUGCUUCACUUAUAUUAUUUUGAGAGUCUUAAACAUAGUAUGGAAAUUUGCUUAGGUUAUGAAUUUAGUCCUAAUAUGAUGGGUAUCCAAGAGGGAUAUAAUAAAAACUUUUACGAAGAGCAUUGAAUAUAUGAGAAGUUUGAUUCCUUCCAUUUGUUUUGAGAUAUAAAGAUGGUGAUAUUAGAGUCAUGCUAGGGAGUAAUUUUGGAUUAGUAAGAAUAUUUGUGUUAAGGUUUGUGAUUCCCAAAGCAUGCACGUAUGGUCUCCCGUGAUGCAAUGAAGUUAGAGCAUGAUUUAUUUUUGAUUGUCUUCCAUAUGAGUGGCAGUCGGGGAAGAGCGAUGGUCUUUUCCCACUGAUCUAUCCCCCUAGGAGCAUGCGUAUUAGUACUUUGCUUCGAUGGCUAAUAAAUGCAAUAAGUAUGUGAGUACUUUAUGACUAAUGUUGAGUCCAUGGAUUAUACACACUCUCACCCUUCCAGCAUUGCUAGCCUCUCUAGUAUCGCACAACUUUCGCCGAUGCAUUAAACCCACCGUAUACCUUCCUCAAAAUGGCCACCAUACCUACCUAUUCUGGCAUUCCCAUAGUCAUUCCAGGAUAUAUUUGCCAUGCAACUUCCAUCAUUCCGUUUAUUAUGACAUGCACCAUCAUUGUCAGAUUGCUUUGCAUGAUCGUAAGAUAGCUAGCAUGAUAUUUUCAUAGCUUGUCCAUUUUUUGUAUAUCUUUGCUACGCUAGAUCAUUGCACAUCCCGGUACACUGCCGGAGGCAUUCACAUAGAGUCAUAUACUUGUUCUAGUACCGAGUUGUAAUUCUUGAGUUGUAAGUAAAUAAAAGUGUGAUGAUCAUCAUUAUUAGAGCAUUGUCCCAUGUGAGGAAAGGAUGAUGGAGGCUAUGAUUCCUUCACAAGUUCGGAUGAGACUCCGGACACAAAAUUAAGAAAAGAGGGCAAAGAGCCCAAAAUAAAAAAAUAGGCCAAAGAGCCCCCAUGUAACGCCCUCGAUGCGGCUAUAUCUCCCACAUGUCGAAGCACGACUUAGAGGCAUAACCGCAUUGAAAGCAAUGUCGCAAGUGAGGUAAUCUUCACACAACCCAUGUAAUACAUAAGGGAAAAAGAUACAUAGUUGGCUUACAAUCGCCACUUCACACAAAUACAUGAAUAAAGCAUUACAUCAUCCAAAUACAAUCAGGGCCCGACUACGGAGCCAAAAUAAAAGAAGACUACCCCAAAAGCGACAAGGUCCCCGAUCGACCCCAACUGGGCUCCACUACUGAUCAACUAGAACGAAACAACACAAAGGACAAGAUCUUCACCGAGCUCCUCCAUGAGCUUGGUUGCGUCAUCUGCACGGUUCAAUGGCAUCUGCAAGCUGGUUUUGGAAGUAUCUGUGAGUCACGGGGACUCAGCAAUCUCGCACCCUCGCGAUCAAGACUAUUUAAGCUUAUAGGAAGGGUAAAAGGUAUGAGGUGGAGCUGCAGCAAGCGACUAGCAUAUAUGGUGGCUAACAUAUACGCAAAAGAGAGCGAGAAGAGAAGGUAAAGCACGAUCGAGAAACUAUGAUCAAGAAGUGAUCCUAGAACAACUUACGUCAAACAUAACUCCAACACCGUGUCACUUCCCGGACUCCACCGGAAAGAGACCAUCACGGUUACACACGCGGUUGAUGUAUUUUAAUUAAGGUCAACUUCAGGUUUUCUACAACCGGACGUUAACAAAUUCCCAUUUGCCCAUAACCACGGGCACAACUUUCAAAAGUUCAAAUCCCUGCAGGGGUGUCCCAACUUAGCCCAUCACAAGCUCUCACGGUCAACGAAGGAUAUUCCUUCUAGCGGGAAGACCCGAUCAGACUCGGAAUCCCGGUUACAAGACAUUUCGACAAUGAUAAAACAAGACCAGCAAAGCCACCCAGAUGUGCCGACAAAUCCCGAUAGGAGCUGCACAUAUCUUGUUCUCAGGGCACACCGGAUGAGCCAGACGUCGGGUGGGCCAGCCCGGAGUUGCCCCUGGUAGCUCCGGACAUCGCUCAGUUGGACCAACACUUAGAGAAGCACUGGCCCGGGGGGUUAAAAUAAAGAUGACCCUCGGGAUGUGCGACUCCCAAGGGAAAAAGGCUAGGUGGCGAAUGGUAAAACCAAUGUUGGGCCUUGCUGGAGGAGUUUUAUUCAAGGCAAACUGUCAAGGGGUUCCCAUUAUUACCCAACCGCGUAAGGAACGCAAAAUCCGGGAACAUAACACCGAUAUGAUGGAAACUAGGGCGGCAAGAGUGGAACAAAACACCAGGCAUAAGGCCGAGCCUUCCACCCUUUACCAAGUAUAUAGAUGCAUUAAUUAAAUAAGAUAUAUUGUGAUAUCCCAACAAGUAAACAAUGUUCCAACAAGGAACGAUCUCCAUAUUCCAACAAGGAACAAACUUCAAUCUUCACCUGCAACUAACAACGCUAUAAGAGGGGCUGAGCAAAGUGGUAACAUAGCCAAACAACGGUUUGCUAGGACAAGGUGGGUUAGAGGCUUGGUUCAACAAUAUGGGAGGCAUGAUAAGCAAGUGGUAGGUAUCGCAGCAUAGGCAUAGCAAAAGAGCGAGCAACUAGCAAGCAAAGAUAGAAGUGAUUUCGAGGGUAUGAUCAUCUUGCCUGAGAUCCCGCAAGGAAGAAGAACGAGUCCAUGAAGAAGACAGACGGACGAAGUCGAACGAAUCCUCACAACACGACAUUAUCAGAAAACAACCCGAAGAAGCAACACCGGAAAGAAGCACACAACAUAGUAAACAACCAACACAUCAACAUGGCAUGAUGCACAAUCGAGUAUGAUGCAUGUCCGGUUUAAUGAAGCAUGGCAUGGCAAAGUGCACAAACAAUACUACAAAUUAAUUGGAGCUCAUUAUGCAGCGGAGUUACAUAUUGAAGAAAACACCACAUGACUUAUUUAGUUCUCUCUCGUUUAUGUACCCAUCAAGAUUAAAUGUUGUUAGCAUGGCAAGAGGGUGAAGCAAAUGAAAACUACCUAUCUAGUCAAGUUUAAAUGAGGCCAGAAACAACGAACAACAAUUCUGGAAACUCCUCAUAUGAAUAUAUUAGGUUUGGUACUGUUCUUCCCUAAACAUAAUUUUAGAGUUGUUAAGCAUGCAAAGUGAAGCCACCAUGUUAAACUAGGCAAAAUUCUACCCCAUUUACAUAUAAAGUUUGUUAGAUUCGGAGUUACGGUUAUUUAGUUAUGAAUUAAAGCAUUUUAGCAUGACAUAGGAGCAAAUUUAAACAAACAACAUUUUAAACAUUUUAAACAUGGAUGAAAAUGACAUAUUAUGAAACUAGACACAAUUCUAAGCAAGUUUCAUAUAUAAAAUGUUUUAAUCCGAUGCAUGGUUAUUAAGUUAUUAUAUGCAUGAAGUCCAAGGGUUUUUCUGCAAAUCUGUAAAUCCCUGGUAAAUAGACAAAUCGCAGAACCAAGAAAAAAACAUCCACUGGGCCAUAUCUGAGAUAGACCCAAUAGUGCACAGGGGCUAGAAGGGGCUGCUCACAUUGGGCUCUUGGCCUGGUCGGUGCUGGGUUAGCCUGCUGGCGCAGGACGCGGGCUGCUGGGAUGGGCCGACUUGAGCUGGCCUUGAAGGCCGAAGCGGAAGCAGGCCGGCUGGAUCUGGCUGUGGACUUGCGCUAAGGCCACGCGCUGAUCUGGCCCCAGUGAGCGAUUGAGGCGCUCGUCCUCUGCUCGACAGGGAGCAGAGCAGUGGCGACUGCAGGGAGGUGGAGGUCGCCGGCGCGGGUGGACUCCGGUGAGGUGGGGCGGCGACCUGGAGGUGGGGAUGAGGCUGGGAUCAUAGGGAGGUGCUGGUUGCUGCUAUUCCGGCGGGCAACGGCUUUCAGUCGACGAGGAGGAGGCCAUGAAGACGAUGGGGCUCCUCGGGCUUCCUGGAACUCCGGUGACCAACUGCUCGAGGCAGGAAGGCACGGGCAUGGCUGAGGCCCUGGUGGACUUGGGCGGCGACGGGGCUGGGUACACGAGGUCGCAUCGGAUCUGUUGAAGAUAGCUACGAGCAGAGCAGCGCGGCGACGGGAGCUGCAGGGCCAUGGCGGGGAAAGAAAUUCAGUUAAAAAGGCUGAGAGAAAAGAGAAAGAGAGGACCGAAGGAAGAGCUGGAGGAGGUGAGGCGACCUGGCUGGCGCGGGUGCUCGCAGAGUUCAUCUGGCAGAGCAGGUCGACGGCGGUGGCGCCAUGGGCAGGGGCGGCGGAGCUCGAUUCCUGCAGAGACAUGGGAGGGAGAGAGAGAGAGAGAGCACGCUGUGAGAGAGAUCGAGAGGAAUGACGGAGCACCGGGAAAGAGAAGAAGAAGGGAGGCGGCGGUGCUCAUCUCAGAUGACUUUGAAUCCAAGGGCUCGGGCUCGAGUUCUGGUUGGUGGGAGGAGGAAUGGGAGGAUCCCGAUGAGCGAAGGGAGUUGGUCUGGUGGCGGCGGGGGAAAGGAAGGAUGGGACAAGGUGCCUAGGAUCUAGGGUUGGAUAAUGUAUAUAUAUACAUCACGUGGAUAAGGUUAGGGGCUAUCUGGCCCCUCCGAUCACAAUCGGACGGACGAGAAAAUAUGCUAAAGAGUCCAAUAAAUAAAAUGAUGAUAUUUUGCAGAUGUUUGGGGAUGAUCUGGACACAACGGUGGCGACUGCUUGAGUCGGGUCCGGGACAGUUUCGGACGUGCACGUGAGGGGUUCGAUACACUGUGCAUAGAGGGUUUCAGGGACUGACGGUUGUCAGCGGACUGUGCAGAAGGGAUCGAGCUGAGAGAAGAGAAGAGAGAGAGACCCGACAACUGUUUCUGGAGGCCGAAAACGUUCGACGAUAGACCGGCUAUAUUGCCGCUAUAGUUUAACGGUUGGGCUAUCAAACGAACUCCGAAUGCGAUGAAACUUGGCAGGCGACCUACUAACAACAAAACAACACCGCACGCCAACUUUCAACCCAUUCCGAGAACAUUUUCCAUCCACUUAUAAAAUAAUAUUUCGGACCUGCCGCGGGCGCGUGCAAGUGUGUGUGGGCUCAGAACGGACAACAGACGGAACUCAGAGAACCCGGACGAAUGCAAGUUUUAAAACAUGAUGAUGCAAUGCACAUGAUGCCAUGAUAUGCAAUGCAUGACAUGCAAGCAAAGACAAGGCAAACAACAACGAAUAACUGGAAGACACCUGGCACAUCGGUCUCGGGGUGUUACACCCCAAAAGAAAAAAAA